GGCGGCGUGCCUAAUACAUGCAAGUCGAAUGGUCUUUCUAUGGAAGCUUGCUUCCACUGAGAAGAUAGUGGCGAACGGGUGAGUAACACGUGGGUAACCUGCCCAUAAGAGGGGGGAUAACAUCCGGAAACGGGUGCUAAUACCGCAUAGUUUUCUUGAUCGCAUGAUUGAGAAAGGAAAGACGGCCUUUGUGCUGUCGCUUAUGGAUGGACCCGCGGCGUAUUAGUUAGUUGGUGAGGUAACGGCUCACCAAGACGAUGAUACGUAGCCGACCUGAGAGGGUGAUCGGCCACAUUGGGACUGAGACACGGCCCAAACUCCUACGGGAGGCAGCAGUAGGGAAUCUUCCGCAAUGGACGAAAGUCUGACGGAGCAACGCCGCGUGAGUGAAGAAAGGUUUUCGGAUCGUAAAACUCUGUUGUCAGAGAAGAACAAGUUGGAGAGUAACUGCUCCAGCCUUGACGGUAUCUGACCAGAAAGCCACGGCUAACUACGUGCCAGCCGCCGC
rnacentral:rRNA from 1 species